CAGUAGUAUGACGACACUCCACUCCAAAGUGACCAUGAAUACCAAGUUCACCAGGACGGAAUCUAAACCUUGUUACAUGCUGGAGCUGUGGAGCUGACCAGAGUCUAUUGAACCAGUGUCUCAGGUCAAAUCUACCGAUCCAUCAAUAAGUGCGAAGUCGAUGUACAAUUAUUGUCAGCGGAACACAAUGUGUAUCAGAUUGCCAGAACACAAGAUGCUAUCAAUAGCCGGAUUUAUGUGGUCUUAAUUCUACCAUGAAGGUAUUAUACCUCCAUGAUUCUACAAAUAAUCGCGCACUUUUAUUAGGAUUUAUAUCACUGGAUAGCCGGAAUUGAAUCAAAUUUGCCAAUAUGUUUCUUAACGAACAAGUAAUUCUCGAACGAUAUAUGAUACUUAAAUAUAAUUAGGCCUAAGCAUUAUAUAUUAUAUAAUAUUAUAUUAUAUUAUAUAAAAGUAGAAUCUUUUAUAUUCUAUUUAUAUUACGUUAUAGUUCUGAUGUAACAUUUUCGAGUAUGUGAGAAAUAAAAGUAAACUUUAGUGUAAUUUAUAA